AGAGUUUGAUUCUGGCUCAGAUUGAACGCUGGCGGCGUGCUUAACACAUGCAAGUCGAACGUGAAAGUCCUUCGGGACGAGUAAAGUGGCGCACGGGUGAGUAACGCGUGGAUAAUCUACCCUUAAGAUGGGGAUAACGGCUGGAAACGGUCGCUAAUACCGAAUACGCUCCCGAUUUUAUCAUUGGGGGGAAAGAUGGCCUCUGCUUGCACGCUAUCGCUUGAGGAUGAGUCCGCGUCCCAUUAGCUAGUUGGCGGGGUAACGGCCCACCAAGGCAACGAUGGGUAGCCGGUCUGAGAGGAUGACCGGCCACACUGGAACUGGAACACGGUCCAGACUCCUACGGGAGGCAGCAGUGGGGAAUAUUGCGCAAUGGGCGAAAGCCUGACGCAGCGACGCCGCGUGAGGGAUGAAGGUUCUCGGAUCGUAAACCUCUGUCAGGGGGGAAGAAACCCCCUCGUGUGAAUAAUGCGAGGGCUUGACGGUACCCCCAAAGGAAGCACCGGCUAACUCCGUGCCAGCAGCCGCGGUAAUACGGAGGGUGCAAGCGUUAAUCGGAAUCACUGGGCGUAAAGCGCACGUAGGCGGUCUGGUAAGUCAGAGGUGAAAGCCCACAGCCCAACUGUGGAACUGCCUUUGAUACUGCCAGACUUGAGUACCGGAGAGGGUGGCGGAAUUCCAGGUGUAGGAGUGAAAUCCGUAGAUAUCUGGAGGAACACCGGUGGCGAAGGCGGCCACCUGGACGGUAACUGACGCUGAGGUGCGAAAGCGUGGGUAGCAAACAGGAUUAGAUACCCUGGUAGUCCACGCCGUAAACGAUGGGUGCUGGGUGCUGGGAUGUAUGUCUCGGUGCCGUAGCCAACGCGAUAAGCACCCCGCCUGGGGAGUACGGUCGCAAGGCUGAAACUCAAAGAAAUUGACGGGGGCCC
rnacentral:rRNA from 1 species